CACAGGCUUCCCAAGAUGGGUGCUUACAGAUAUAUUCAAGAGUUGUAUCGUAAAAAGCUGAGCGAUGUUAUGCGCUUCCUUUUGCGUGUCAGAGUAUGGCAAUAUCGCCAGUUGACUCGAAUGCACCGAGCUCCUAGGCCUACCAGGCCUGACAAAGCUAGGAGACUAGGAUACCGUGCUAAACAGGGUUACGUUAUCUUCAGAAUCCGCGUGCGCCGUGGUGGUCGCAAACGCCCAGUUCCUAAGGGCGCUACAUAUGGCAAGCCAAAAAGCCAUGGAGUCAACCAGUUGAAACCUACACGCAACUUACAAUCUAUCGCUGAGGAACGUGUCGGCCGUCGUUGUGGGGGCCUCCGUGUGCUCAACUCAUACUGGGUUGCACAAGAUUCUUCAUACAAAUACUAUGAAGUCAUCCUAGUCGACCCCUCACACAAGGCAAUUCGUCGUGAUCCCAAGAUCAACUGGAUAGUGAAUGCUGUACACAAGCACCGUGAAAUGCGUGGUCUCACCUCGGCUGGAAAGAGCUCCCGUGGUCUCGGCAAGGGUCAUCGAUACUCACAGACUAAGGGUGGAUCCCGUCGUGCCGCCUGGAUUAGACGCAACACUCUACAGCUGCGUCGCAAGCGAUAAAUACACUAUUGCUGCUGAUUUUCUAUUUGUUUAUAUCCUUCUCAGAUGGAGAGACAGCAGUACUCAAUAAAAACAUAAAAAAACAAGUUUUUUUUUUAUUAAUAUUCUCUAGAUAUUCAUAUUUUAUACAGAUUAUUUGCUAUUAUAAUGUAAGUAUUAAACUGCACCUACAUAUUUUUAUAUUUUAUUUGUAUGUGAAUAUAAUAAUUAAUAAUAAUAUUUAAUUUUUUUUUUUUUUUUUUUUAUAGAAAUACCAAAGGAAUUGUUGCAAGAGAAAAUUUGGAAAAAUAACAGGUAAUGAUAGCUUGGAGCUGUGCAAAGAUCAACAUAGGUAAUUAUUAUUUAAGAAUUGUUAAAAUGUAGCUUAUUUGGUAAUUUAAAUGGUAUAAUAUCCAAACCAUUACAUAGUCACAGUCAUUGAUUAUUUGUUAAUGUACUAAAAAGUUUGGAAAUAUUAAAAUGUUGUCUAGGUGAGGUUAUUGUUAAAUAAAUUUUCGAUAAACCUCAAUCCGGCAAGAUACAUAA